UACGUAGGGUGCAAGCGUUGUCCGGAAUUAUUGGGCGUAAAGAGCUCGUAGGCGGUCUGUCGCGUCUGCUGUGAAAACUCAGGGCUUAACCCUGAGCUUGCAGUGGGUACGGGCAGACUAGAGUGCGGUAGGGGAGACUGGAAUUCCUGGUGUAGCGGUGAAAUGCGCAGAUAUCAGGAGGAACACCGGUGGCGAAGGCGGGUCUCUGGGCCGUAACUGACGCUGAGGAGCGAAAGCCAGGGAAGCAAACGGG
rnacentral:rRNA from 1 species